GCCGCCGCUGGCCAGCCGGGACGUGUACGCCUACGCCGCGCAGGGUGAGCUGUACGCGCACGGGCUCGACCCGUACCACUCGGGGCCGGCGGCAC
rnacentral:tRNA from 1 species